UCUCUCUCUCUCUCUCUCUCUGUCUCUCUCUCUCUCUCCCUCUCCAUUCUUCUUCCACUGAUCUUCUUCUUCACUGCAACGAUUCAUCUUCCUUCAAAAAUACGUAACAAUAAUAAUCGCUCUGAGAAUAUUAAUAUCGAAAAGCAUAUACAGCGAACAAAGAAGAAAAAAAAAAUAAAAAAGCUAUGA